rnacentral:rRNA from 1 species
CACCGGCGGCUCGAGUGGUGGCCACUUUUAUUGGGUCUAAAGCGUCCGUAGCCGGCUUGGCAAGUCCCCUGGGAAAUCUGGCGGCUUAACCGUCAGGCGUCCAGAGGAUACUGCCAGGCUUGGGACCGGGAGAGGUGAGAGGUACCUCAGGGGUAGGGGUGAAAUCUUGUGAUCCCUGAGGGACCACCAGUGGCGAAGGCGUCUCACUAGAACGGGUCCGACGGUCAGGGACGAAAGCUAGGGGAGCAAACCGG